rnacentral:rRNA from 1 species
CGAACCCUUCGGGGUGAGUGGCGCACGGGUGCGUAACACGUGGGAAUAUACACAUAGGUAAGGAAUAACACAGAGAAAUUUGUGCUAAUACCUUAUAAUAACUCCGGUUCAAAGAUUUAUCGCCUAUGGAUUAGCCCGCGCUAGAUUAGUUUGUUGGUGAGGUAAAAGCUCACCAAGACUACGAUCUAUAGCUGGUCUUAGAGGAUGAUCAGCCACACUGGAACUGAGACACGGUCCAGACUCCUACGGGAGGCAGCAGUGAGGAAUAUUGCGCAAUGGAGGAAACUCUGACGCAGCCAUGCCGCGUGAAUGAAGAAGGCCCUAGGGUUGUAAAAUUCUUUCAGAUGCGAAGAUAAUGACGGUAACAUCAGAAGAAGCUCCGGCUAAAUUCGUGCCAGCAGCCGCGGUAAUACGAAUGGAGCGAGCGUUGUUCGGAAUCAUUGGGCGUAAAGCGUAUGUAGGCGGACUAGAAAGUCAGAAGUGAAAUCCCGAGGCUCAACCUCGGAAUUGCUUUUGAAACUCCUAGUCUAGUGUCCCGGAGGGGUUGACGGAAUUCCUAGUGUAGAGGUGAAAUUCGCAGAUAUUAGGAGGAACACCAGUGGCGUAGGCGGUCAA